ACCAAAAUGUUAUACUCGCAUAACAGCGAAUCCCUCUCACAAAAUACAGUUCCUAAAUCACCAAGAUCAUUACUUCCCCUAUCAUUUCAAGUACUUCCCGCCCGAAUCCCCCAAAGAAAGGGGACGACGACUGGUCAAGUGGUCUGCGCAACCAAUUUAGAGAAACGCAAAAGAGUGAGGAGCCACCAAACUUUGAGCGCGCUACUCAGUCACAAUUUGUCAUCGGCUUUGGCCACUCAAUCAUCCGGGCAGCGAAUAAAAGAACAAAUUCAAAAUUGGCCAAGCUCUAUAAGUCUUCCCGGGGACGACUGCAGUAUUACCAUUAUCAUUAGGCUUUUUAUCGUGAGGAGGCACGAGGCAAAGGCUCCGGCUGGAAGGCUCGCAUGACGUCUUGUAAUACGUCAAUGACGACGGGGAUGCCUAAUAGAUGGUUUAUUUCUGCUUCGUUUUUCGUUAUGAUGAAUUAAGCAUUUGGCCGUGUAGUAAGCAUACCAAGUAAAUAGGUUCCUCCAUAAGGUCCCUUCGUAUGGAAGUUGGCUCUGAGCUGAGGGCCAUAAAUUUUCACACGAAGGUGUCGCAUUACAAUCGAGUCCAAGUCAGAAAUCCCAAACUGGAAAUGGAAAUGGAACCGGAACCUCCCUCUCCGUUCCGCCCUUCCCUCUUCCCUCUCGAGCACUCCCAAUCGUUCCGACUCGCCCAGGGAAUUUAUUUCGGCACCAUUGGCUUCAGUUCCAGGCGAAGGAACUCAAGGGACUCUUGAAUCCACUCUGAAGAAGUGAAGUACUUGACGAUUGUAACUCCUUUUAUUUCCCUCGGCCAAGGACCAACACUUGAGCGAAAAGUGUUGAAGGCAGGAGCCAAACGGUUGUCAGUCAGCCAGAAGAGCGAGUAGAAAAGCCCAACGACUUCCACUUGAACACUUUUCAAUGAAAAUCCACCACAAGAAAUGUGCAACCGAAUGCGCAUUUGCAACUGAGCAAAAACCAGAGCUGCCAAAAAGCAUAGUCCGUUUCAUUCGUGUAAUUACUAACUGCAGGACUACAGGACUGCAGGACUGCAGAGCCCGACUUCCGGAAGUUGUCAAAUGGAGCGUGAGAAAGUUUCUGGCGCGCUUUUCGGGAAGGCUGGAUGUAGGAAGCCAAGGAAGUCAAAACGGCAACGCAAAAGCCGAAUAAAAUUGCACACCUUCCUCUAUUCUUGAGAAGUAGGAGUUCCAAGACCUCGACUAAGGGGAGAACUUAGAGGUCGACCCCCAUUACGAAGUCGGGCCAAUUGUCCAACUUCCGGGCGUAUCAGAUUACCAGAUUCCGCGCAUUUAAAGUCAAGUAAAUGUCAGCGUCCUUGUGGCCCGACCCCGAACUUCUUUGGACUUUCCUCCAGCCUCCAGUCACCAGUCAGCAAUUAUUUCGCCGACUCGACCCGGAGCCGACCCUCCCAACCGAUCCACCCCAUCCUCGAGCACACAUUCCCUCACCGUUCCCGCACCUUUCCUUCCAUAAUUGCUCAGUCAGUCGACACGCCCCUCCAAGGGGGCGGGGAUGGGAGUGCCAGAGUCCUUUGUUCCGCUUUCUUCGGCCCACAGGGUCCUUGUUCUUUUGCUCAGCUCUUGCACUAAUGAGGGUCCUUGGCAGCCCCUUCUCCCGCCAUUGACACAUUGCCCUCGCCCCGUUUCCUUUGUGUUUCCUCAAAUAUUUGCGAGCGACUUUAGGCCUUUAGGCCUUCCAAGACGUCGAGCGUUUUCAAAAGCGCAUAAAUAUUUAUGCAAUGAAGCAAAAACUUCAAAAAGUUCAGAGGGUAGAUCGAUCCGAUACCAUUUUUUUCCUUGCUGAGCAUAAAAAGCCUUUGCUGAAUUUAUAUGAUUGUGCGAAAAGUUUAUGUAACUAAAUCUGGAACUUUUCAGAUGUUUUGCUCCUGGCUUAAGAGAUUUUUAAAAUGUAUUCAGGAGAACAGCUACAAGUUCAUUUGUGACAUGGGCACUCUACUAGAUCUCUACUAAUUGUAUUUAAAUUAACAUUUUCAUAGUUGUAUGCAGUAAGUGUAAUUGUUUCUUGAAUAAAAAGCAAAGCGAAUA